UGUCUUCCUUCUCUCUCUUCCUUGUUUGUCACUCAGAAGUGUUUCUCCAUUCCUGCCUCUGUGACUCAUUCGAGAAGACAUUAGAAGCUAUGUUUUGCAACACCUUUCCAUGAAAUAGAGAGAACAUCAGUGCCCGCUCCAGUAAGAGGACUCCAGUCCCUUGCUAUUGGGGAAAACCUGAGAAUUCUUUUGUACAGCCAACAUGAAGAAGCCCUGGGUUAAACCAUCCUGGCACCAUGUCCCUCUGUCAUCUACAGACAUGCUCUUGCACAUGGCACUCCCAAUAGCUGAAGACAAGAGGAUACACGUGUUUGAAUGAACACAAGUUUUCUAUCUUCCUGUAGGUGUCGAGGAAGACUGAUUCAUGCUUAUGGGAGACACAAUGGAACAUAUGAUUCAGCGUGCAUCAUGGUCUCUUUCAUUUUGUUAUACAGAGUUACACAACAGAAGUUCUCAUACAAGUAGUUAAUAAACUUUGAAGUAUUUUAAAUGA